GGUAGUUUUCUGGUGAUGCACCCUGGAAUCGGGCUUUCUCCUCUCUGGUUCCUGGGGCAUCACCUGAGAACCGCA
rfam:Myotis lucifugus cont2.28575, whole genome shotgun sequence.